UUCAUGUUUCCGGACCACUCUGUAAACCAUUAGAAGGCAAUUUUUAGUAACAAUUUACCUCCAGGGAAAAUUUUGAAAGGCAACGCUUGUUAAAAAUUUGACCAUGCCAAAAUCAAAGAGGACUGAAGCAGAAAAAUUACGAAUAUUUUUGAAUGAGCAUCAGGAUGUCUUCAAGACAGAUGGCAGAGUUCUUUUCUGCAAAGCAUGCAACAAAGCAAUAAGUCAUACAACAAAAUUUCUGGUAGAACAACAUUUAAGAAGCCAGAAACACAUAGAUAUGCAUAGCCGAAGCGUUGAAAAGUCGUCGCAGUCAAUGCUGCCCAUUUCCGCAGCGCUUUCGCCAAAUAACUUUUGCAUGGAUUUAUGCGAAGCCUUUAUUGCUGCCGAUAUACCUCUAGGAAAGCUAAACAACCCACAUCUAAACACUUUUUUAAAGAAAUACACAAGCGAAAGGAUUCCCUCGGAGUCAGCGUUGAGAAAGACUUACAUAGAUAAAUUAUACGCUAAACAGUUAGAACGAAUAAAAUCUGCGUUGAAAGGAAA